UACGGAGGGUGCGAGCGUUGUCCGGAAUCAUUGGGCGUAAAGGGCGCGUAGGUGGCGGCUUAAGCGUGCGGUGAAAGCUCGGGGCUCAACUCCGAGUCGGCCGUGCGAACUGAGUCGCUUGAGCACUGUAGAGGCAGGCGGAAUUCCGGGUGUAGCGGUGGAAUGCGUAGAGAUCCGGAAGAACACCGGUGGCGAAGGCGGCCUGCUGGGCAGUUGCUGACACUGAGGCGCGACAGCGUGGGGAGCAAACAGG
rnacentral:rRNA from 1 species